AGCUGAGAGUCUUAGGGACUCGGCGAACUGCUCCGUAAUACGCAGAUAACCUGCCCUUGAGUGGGGAAUAAUUGCGGGAAACUGAAGCUAAUGCCCCAUAGGUGCACAGCGCUGGAAUGCCUAUGCACUUAAAGCUCCGGCGCUCAAGGAUGGGUCUGUGGCCUAUCAGGCUGUUGUUGGUGUAAUGAACCAACAAACCUAUAACGGGUACGGGCUAUGGAAGUAGGAGCCCGGAGAUGGAUUCUGAGACAUGAAUCCAGGCACUACGGUGUGCAGCAAGCGCGAAAACUUUACAAUGCAUUAACGUGCGAUAGGGGAAUCCGGAGUGCUCCAGCACUGCUGGAGCUUUUGCUCAUUCCAAAUAGAUGGGCUAAUAAGGGCUGGGCAAUACGGGUGCCAGCCGCCGCGGUAAUACCUGAGGCCCGAGUGAUAGCCGCUAUUAUUGGGUCUAAAGCGUCCGUAGCCGGUUUCGUAAGUUCCUGGUGAAAUCGUCCGGUAGACUGGACGGCGUGCUGGGAAUACUACAAGACUUGAGACCGGGAGAGGGUGGGGGUACUUAUGGGG
rnacentral:rRNA from 1 species